UGGGGAAUCUUCCGCAAUGGACGAAAGUCUGACGGAGCAACGCCGCGUGAGUGAAGAAGGUUUUCGGAUCGUAAAACUCUGUCUUUUGGGGCGAACGUGAGUAUGGUGAACAAUCAUAGUCAGUGACGGUACCAAAGGAGGAAGCCACGGCUAACUACGUGCCAGCAGCCGCGGUAAUACGUAGGUGGCAAGCGUUGUCCGGAAUUAUUGGGCGUAAAGAGCGCGUAGGCGGGAUAGUCAGUCUGUUGUAAAGUGCGGGGCUCAACCCCGUGAUCGCAAUGGAAACAGCUAUUCUUGAGUGCAGGAGAGGAAAGUGGAAUUCCCAGUGUAGCGGUGAAAUGCGUAGAUAUUGGGAGGAACACCAGUGGCGAAGGCGACUUUCUGGACUGUGUCUGACGCUGAGGCGCGAAAGCCAGGGGAGCGAACGGGAUUAGAUACCCCCGGUAGUCCUGGCCGUAAAACGAUGGGUACUAGGUGUGGGAGGUAUCGACCCCUUCCGUGCCGGAGUUAACGCAAUAAGUACCCCGCCUGGGGAGUACGGUCGC
rnacentral:rRNA from 1 species